rnacentral:rRNA from 1 species
UGGGGAAUAUUGGACAAUGGGCGAAAGCCUGAUCCAGCCACGCCGCGUGAGUGACGAAGGCCUUAGGGUUGUAAAACUCUUUCGUCGGGGACGAUAAUGACGGUACCCGAAGAAGAAGCUCCGGCUAACUUCGUGCCAGCAGCCGCGGUAAUACGAAGGGAGCUAGCGUUGUUCGGAAUCACUGGGCGUAAAGCGCACGUAGGCGGAUAGUUAAGUCAGGGGUGAAAUCCUGGGGCUCAACCCCAGAACUGCCUUUGAUACUGGCUGUCUCGAGGUCGAGAGAGGUUGGUGGAAUUCCUAGUGUAGAGGUGAAAUUCGUAGAUAUUAGGAAGAACACCAGUGGCGAAGGCGGCCAACUGGCUCGAUACUGACGCUGAGGUGCGAAAGCGUGGGGAGCAAACAGGAUUAGAUACCCCCGUAGUCCCUGAGCGGGCUGGCAAGGCGCAU